rnacentral:rRNA from 1 species
UACGUAGGGUGCGAGCGUUGUCCGGAAUUAUUGGGCGUAAAGAGCUCGUAGGCGGUUUGUCGCGUCUAUCGUGAAAACUGGAGGCUUAACUUUCAGCGUGCGGUGGAUACGGGCAGACUUGGAGUUCGGUAGGGGAGACUGGAAUUCCUGGUGUAGCGGUGAAAUGCGCAGAUAUCAGGAGGAACACCCGGUGGCGAAGGCGGGUCUCUGGGGCCGAUGACUGACGCUGGAGGAGCGAAAGCGUGGGGAGCGAACAGG